rnacentral:lncRNA from 1 species
UUUUCUUUUGCCUUUUUGCCUUUCUCCUUUGCCGUUUUCUUUUGCCUUUUGCCUUUGUCGUUUUCCUUUGCCGGUUUUCUUGCUUGCUUGUGUGCUUGUUUGUUUGUUGAAGUCAUCAUGGCUGAAAACACCAAACUUUGCGACUUCUCGAGCACUAAUAAUAAUGAUUUUAUUAGUACUCCGAUUGCUCCCGCCACUACUG